rfam:Gossypium hirsutum cultivar TM-1 chromosome 14, whole genome shotgun sequence
AAUCCAUGUAUUGGACAUUUCCAAAUUAAAUCUUUGAAUCAUUCCCAAGCUUCAUAUAGUGUUUCAUCCUCCAAUUGCCAAAAAGAUGUGAUGUCAUUUCUAAGAUU